CAAAGUAGAGUGCCAAAUGUCGCA
rnacentral:siRNA from 1 species